rnacentral:lncRNA from 1 species
CUUCCCUUUGGGGGCAAGACCCUUGGACUUGAACGUGGAGCUGGGGAGACUGGGAAAGGAGCAAAUGUGUCAACCUGGGCUUGAGCGGAGCUGCUUGUAAACUGAUGAUGGGGCGAGAGAUAAGCAUCACUGUUUCGGCUGUUAGAUAUGCACCCUGACCCUGUCCUACACUCAAGAGAAUCAUAGUCAUUUUCCAAAGCUUUUUUUUUCCUGAGGAAGAUUCACCUGAGCUAACAUCUGUUGCCAGUCUUCUUCUUUUUGUACGUGAGCCCCCACCAUAGCACGGCCACUGACAGACGAGUGCUGUAGGUGCACACCAGGGAACCUAACCUGGGCCGCCAAAGUGGAGCAUGCCGAACUUAACCGCUGGGCCACCGGGGCUGGCCCCCAAAGGUUUCUUUAAAAGAAAGGGUAAAUUACGUGCGUUAUUUCAGUGUUUGACAAUCUUCCCAUAUUUUACUAAAACACUAAUGUGGAAGCAGGAGGAUCCGAGGACCCACCAGCGUGGCCACAUUGGGAAAGUCAUGUUGCCCUCUCUGGGCCUCUCUUUCUUCACAAGGAACUGCUGCUGGUUCUUCGAUUUCUAGCUAAACUCUCACUGAUUGAACUGUCACAGCUAACUUCGACUGUUUAUUCAGUAACAACGCGAAUUUACAAAAGUAAAUUGCACCAGAGCUCAAUAAGAAUGGUCCAUCCUGAGUUGACGCCUGGGCCAGCUGCCUAGCUGAUUCUCCUUGCUCAUUUUUUCUACAUCAGCCAGUAGAUCCGGCUAGAAUUCCAAGGCCUUGGACUUUGCUGGACUACGAAAAGGAAGAGGAAAGGGAAGCGAAUAGCCACCAGGAUGGAACCUGCUUUCCUGUGCUUUUCUAAGCUGCUUUCAGCUCCAGCUCUGCAGAGUUCAAAGCUCUGAGGAAGCCACUCUUAUUGCGUCCAAAAGAUUACAGAAUGAUAUAGUAGUCUAGGUUGGAACUAUACCAUCUGUUUAUGCCCUGAGAAUUUUAAAAACCAUCCCCACGUUUACCAAUCUGAGCUCACAUGUCACAUAUGUGGGGAAAUAACUAAGUAGCUGCCAGGCAGUAGCAAGACUCUUCUUGUUCAGAAGCUCCACACAGAAUCAGGUUAAGUCCUGAAAGCCUUUGUUAAGCGCACUGUUUGUCAUCACCGUUGCCCAGGAGGGGGUGACGCUUGCAGCCCUCGGAUUGAUUUCUGUCACUUAGGAGUCUUUUAAAAUCAAGCAUAUGCUCCUCCUCUUAGCUGGUGUAUAUUCUCUCAGGCAUAGUUUCUCCCAACAAAUUCGUUUUUUUCUAUGUUGAAAUCACAUCGGGAGAGAGAACAUCUGCAAAUAUUGUAAGAAUCUCAGCUUCAUAUCCAUCACCCCACUGCACUUUGAACUCAGGCAAAUUCAAAGGGGACCUUGUACAGAGGAAACAUCCAUGGCUUGGGGCAAACAUUUCAUCACUCUAGCCUCUAAGUCUUCAAACAAACUCCUGGCAUGCUCCUGAAGGAGGCUGGCAGACUCUCUGUUGAUGCCUCCGAGCCACGACACUUCAGAUCCUUUUGCUUUUGUCUAUUACUUGUCCUGUCUCUUGCUGAUUAUUGUUGACUGUAGAGGCAAGGCAGCUUCUAUACACAACACAAUCACCCUUUGUCAACUAGAAUCUUUCCUAACGUUGAAUAACUCGGUCCGUAAACAAGGGCAACAUUCAUUCAUUUUCACUGUUUUCCAUUUUUUUUUAAUUAUCUCUUGUUGGUAAUUGAAUAUAUCAGUGAAUCCUUUCAUGGACAUGAUGGGGUUAAAAACGUUUGCAAAACACCUGAGGCUUAGUAUGAGCAGAGCAAGCACCCUGCAGACCAUGGUACCUGAGGCCAAGAACCCUGAUGGGUCACUGGUGGUGAGCUGAGCUUUCUCUGGAGAGCACAACUUUGAUGACGACCAUAGAAGUUCUCAGGGAGAGGGCAUCUGUACUUCCCAGAAAGAGCUAGAAGGAGAUUCUAAAGUGGAUGCUUGCUAUACUGUUUCCAGAAUCAUUCGACCAGGCAGGAGGUUGACACAAUUACCUGGAGGGUAUGGGUAGAACUCUACUUAUCUACAUAAUAAAAAAUAAAAAAAUCAAAGAUUGGUCCAG